UCCAGUACUGUACUAGGAAGGUUCUUCCCCAGUACUGUACUAGGAAGGUUCUUCCAGUACUGUACUAGGAAGGCUCUUCCAGUACUGUACUAGGAAGGUUCUUUCAGUACUGUACUAGGAAGGUUCUUCCAGUACUGUACUAGGAAGGUUCUUCCAGUACUGUACUAGGAAGGUUCUUCCAGUACUGUACUAGGAAGGUUCUUCCAGUACUGUACUAGGAAGGUUCUUCCAGUACUGUACUAAGCUGGAGCUCCAAACUGGAGAGACAUCAGAAAGUCAUAACUCUCAGAUCACUGUUUAAUAAAUGCCUAAUACAGAAUCAAUGAUUUUUUUUAGAAUUAAUUAGUCUGUGAUGUAACACAGAAUAAACAUAAUGUAAUUUAAAUGCAUAAUUAAGUGUUUGUUGUUUGUAUCAUCCGAAAGUUAUACAUUAAUUCUUCGUUAAUUUUCCCUUCUAUGUUUUAUGGAAUGGUUAAUGUUUUCUGUUGUCCAGUUCUCCGAGCUGGAAUCUUACGAAGAGAAAGAUUCCUUACUUGAUUGAUUUCUUUAUUAUUUUUUUUCGUGUGUUAGUAAGACACGAUAUGCGGUUUGUGGAAUCGUAUUGGAAAUAUAUUUUGUUCCCCAAGGGCUUUACCAAUUCUCAUCUGCUAUCUGGAAGGUUACUCUGGUGAGCAUCUUUCUCUUUUAUAUAGUUGGGACAGGAAGAGCACAGCUCUUCAUCUUCUGUUUCUUGAGGUGGUAUAAAUAAAUGAUAUGAGAUGCCGACGGGUUGUUGGAACAAUACUCAAAGCAGAAACACGGACAUUUGAUUGUUUUGCGACCUUAGUAACUCCAAAUGUGCAGUGACCGAGAUCUCCCAGGACCAAAAUGUUUCCAGUCAGUCAAUAUCACAGUGUUUGUAUGUUGUGUCUGUUUCCAACAGUCAGUGGAGUGUUUCUCGGUGUUAGAUGAUCCUGUGUUGAAGUACAAGGCCGCAGUUCGAUCAGCAUCAACAGCCACUACCUCCCUCCUGUCUCUAUGCACCGAGAAAAGAGAGGCAGCUGGCUGAGCCUCGUCUGUUACAGUUGAGUCACUCCCAGCAGCUGCCACACUCAGAUUCCUGACGCAGCUGAGAGCUGAUCUACAUGUUUCUUAGGCAGGCACGUCAUCCUUUAGCUUACUAUCCAACUCAACAGUCAAAAGGGACUGAAGCAGUGAUUCCUAGCCUCAGAUUGCUGGCCAAGAUGGCUGACUAGCGCGCCAUCUCUCCCUGAAUAAAGUUCACAAACUUAAUGUCAUGAUCGAGACUGGACGCCGCCUCACUCAACAUGAGGCAUACGUUCAAGGAUGAGAUGCUGGUUGUUUCCAGAGAUGAAGCAAGUCCAGGAAAUAUGAUGCUGCUUCCAGGCACUGUUUAGCACAGAAACACCACCCACAGAAAUACCACCUCACUUGAUAAGGAUGACCAUUCUAUACUGGAUACAGACACAAUCCUGGCAAUGAGCAAAUCUUCUCUUGAAGCGUCUCCUCCGACGCUUGUGAACCCACUAAUCACAACGCACCUGGACCAUCCCCACAAUGCCACUCACCCUCGUACCUUCCUUCUGUCUCUCUUAAGGUCCUGUCUUCCGGAAUGGUGAUGAGUGUGACUAGAUUACCAUGGAGAGUAAGAAAAAAGUCCCAGUACCGUGGCUGCAACACACCAGAACCCCGAACUUAAGAGAGAUGAACCUUGUGACCACAAUGGUUUACACUGAGGUUUACACUGAGGUUUACACUGAGGUUUAUACUGAGGUUUACAUCCUUCUACUUAUGUCCCGGGGGUCGUAAAUGUCGCUGAGUAAAAGUUGAUAAAUUAGACACAUGUACAACACUUGGGUAUCUUUACUGAGGAAACCUUUCGCCACACAGUGACUUCAUCAGUCCAAUAGAAAGAAAAAUAGUGAAGAUCGGAAGGAGAGUGAGGUAAUCAGUCCCUCAGCCUGGAGUCGAUGUUAUCAGUUCAUCAGUCUACGCUGAAGAAAGUUAAUCGUCGUCAGGUCCGGGUUCAACGCCAGCUCCGGGUUCAACGCCAGCUCCAGGUUCAACGCCAGGUCCGGGUUCAACGCCAGGUCCGGGUUCAACGCCAGGUCCGGGUUCAACGCCAGCUCCAGGUUCAACUCCAGGUCCGGGUUCAACGCCAGGUCCGGGUUCAACGCCAGGUCCGGGUUCAACGCCAGGUCCGGGUUCAACGCCAGGUCCGGGUUCAACGCCAGGUCCGGGUUCAACGCCAGGUCCGGGUUCAACUCCAGGUCCGGGUUCAACGUACCCCUCCACAUUAUCUGACCCAGUUUCAACUUAAACGAGGCGCCCUUAAUAUUAAUAGUUUGGGAAGAUGUUUUGCACGCUGUUGUUCUCUCAAUAAAUGAGAUAAAUUGAAGAAAACCACAAGAAGAUACCGCAGCUUUCACUGAAGGUUCACUGAAGGUUCACUGAAGGUUCACUCUAAUGUAUUCCUGGAAUAUAUUGUAUAUUUUGACUGUUUUAUACACCCUUACACUGUACCCCCUCACCCUACCUCCAUCUCCCUUCCUCCCUCACCUUUCCUCCGUUUCCCUAACUCCCUCAACCCCUUCUCCAUCUCCAUUCCUUCCUCACCUUACCUCCAUCUACCUCCCACGCCAUUUCUUCAUUUCCCUUACUCCCUCACCUCUCCUUCAUCUUCCUUACUCCCUCACAAUUCUUCCAUCUCUCCACUCUCCCCUCGAACCUUUCCUUCCAUACCUCCCCCCUCCCCACCACAUCUUCCAUACCUCCCCCUCCCCACCACACCUUCCAUACCUCCCCCCUCCCCACCACACCUUCCAUACCUCCUCUCCCCAUAACCACAUCCAAACCUCCCCAUGCCCCUUCCCCUCCCCACCUUCCCUCCCCACUUCCACUUCCAUACCUCCCCCUCCCCACCAUCCCUCCCCUAGUUCAAGCUGUAAGCAACGAACACAGUAGAAAAAUCUUUCACAUCAGGUUCUAACUAAAACAGUAGUUUGUUAUAGUCAGCUUAGUAACUAACUAUGAAUUAUAUUGUUAGUAAAUGGGCUUCCAGUCUGUGUUAUGUGUGUUCCCUUCCAUGAGCUAUCUUUCUCUCUCUCUCUCUCUCUCUCUCUCUCUCUCUCUCUCUCUCUCUCUCUCUCUCUCCUCUCUCCUCUUCUCUAUCAUCCACAAUUAAUCACAAAUACAACAGCUUGAGUAUAACACUGGGUGUAUAAAGUUCUCCACCAGACAUUAUCACAGUCUCUCACGGAGAGUUAUGUAUAUCUGUAUCAUACAAGUAUAUUCUUUGUAUUUUAUGUAUAAAACAUACACAUGUUUUCCGUUUUGUUUAAUAAAAAUAUACUUUU